CUGAGUACGGCGGAACACGUGAAAUUCCGUCGGAAUCCGGGAGGACCAUCUCCCAAGGCUAAAUACUCCCUAGUGACCGAUAGUGAACCAGUACCGUGAGGGAAAGGUGAAAAGCACCCCGGAAGGGGAGUGAAACAGUUCCUGAAACCGUGUGCCUACAAGUAGUUAGAGCCCGUUAAUGGGUGAUAGCGUGCCUUUUGUAGAAUGAACCGGCGAGUUACGAUUUGUUGCAAGGUUAAGCGGAAAAAGCGGAGCCGUAGCGAAAGCGAGUCUGAAUAGGGCGCAUAAGUAACAGGUCGUAGACCCGAAACCAGGUGAUCUACCCAUGUCCAGGAUGAAGGUAAGGUAAUACUUACUGGAGGUCCGAACCCACGCACGUUGAAAAGUGCGGGGAUGAGGUGUGGGUAGCGGAGAAAUUCCAAUCGAACUUGGAGAUAGCUGGUUCUCUCCGAAAUAGCUUUAGGGCUAGCCUCGAGGUAAAGAGUCAUGGAGGUAGAGCACUGUUUGGACUAGGGGCCCUUCUCGGGUUACCGAAUUCAGAUAAACUCCGAAUGCCAUGUACUUAUACUCGGGAGUCAGACUGCGAGUGAUAAGAUCCGUAGUCGAAAGGGAAACAGCCCAGACCACCAGUUAAGGUCCCCAAAUAUAUGUUAAGUGGAAAAGGAUGUGGGGUUGCUUAGACAACCAGGAUGUUGGCUUAGAAGCAGCCACCAUUGAAAGAGUGCGUAAUAGCUCACUGGUCGAGUGACCCCGCGCCGAAAAUGUACCGGGGCUAAACAUAUUACCGAAACUGUGGAUGAACCUCUUUAGAGGUUCGUGGUAGGAGAGCGUUCUAAGGGCGGUGAAGUCAGACCGGAAGGACUGGUGGAGCGCUUAGAAGUGAGAAUGCCGGUAUGAGUAGCGAAAGAAGGGUGAGAAUCCCUUCCACCGAAUAUCUAAGGUUUCCUGAGGAAGGCUCGUCCGCUCAGGGUUAGUCGGGACCUAAGCCGAGGCCGAUAGGCGUAGGCGAUGGACAACAGGUAGAGAUUCCUGUACCAGUGCUAAUUGUUUAACCGAUGGGGUGACACAGAAGGAUAGGGAAUCGCACGAAUGGAAAUGUGCGUCCAAGCAGUGAGUGUGAGAAGUAGGCAAAUCCGCUUCUCGCGAAGCAUGAGCUGUGAUGGGGAAGGAAAUUAAGUACGGAAGUUCCUGAUUUCACGCUGUCAAGAAAAGCCUCUAGGAAGAGUAGUACUGCCCGUACCGCAAACCGACACAGGUAGAUGAGGAGAGAAUCCUAAGGUGAGCGAGAGAACUCUCGUUAAGGAACUCGGCAAAAUGACCCCGUAACUUCGGGAGAAGGGGUGCUCUAUUAGGGUGCAAGCCCGAGAGAGCCGCAGUGAAUAGGCCCAGGCGACUGUUUAGCAAAAACACAGGUCUCUGCAAAACCGUAAGGUGACGUAUAGGGGCUGACGCCUGCCCGGUGCUGGAAGGUUAAGAGGAGUGCUUAGCUUCGGCGAAGGUACGAAUUGAAGCCCCAGUAAACGGCGGCCGUAACUAUAACGGUCCUAAGGUAGCGAAAUUCCUUGUCGGGUAAGUUCCGACCCGCACGAAAGGCGCAACGAUCUGGGCACUGUCUCAACGAGAGACUCGGUGAAAUUAUAGUACCUGUGAAGAUGCAGGUUACCCGCGACAGGACGGAAAGACCCCGUGGAGCUUUACUGCAACCUGAUAUGGAAUGUUUGUACCGCUUGUACAGGAUAGGUAGGAGCCGAAGAGACGUGUGCGCUAGCAUACGAGGAGGCAAUGGUGGGAUACUACCCUGGCUGUAUGACCAUUCUAACCCGCCACGCUUAGCGCGUGGGGAGACAGUGUCAGGUGGGCAGUUUGACUGGGGCGGUCGCCUCCUAAAGAGUAACGGAGGCGCCCAAAGGUUCCCUCAGAAUGGAUGGAAAUCAUUCGCAGAGUGUAAAGGCACAAGGGAGCUUGACUGCGAGACUGACAAGUCGAGCAGGGACGAAAGUCGGGCUUAGUGAUCCGGUGGUUCCGCAUGGAAGGGCCAUCGCUCAACGGAUAAAAGCUACCCCGGGGAUAACAGGCUUAUCUCCCCCAAGAGUCCACAUCGACGGGGAGGUUUGGCACCUCGAUGUCGGCUCGUCGCAUCCUGGGGCUGUAGUCGGUCCCAAGGGUUGGGCUGUUCGCCCAUUAAAGCGGCACGCGAGCUGGGUUCAGAACGUCGUGAGACAGUUCGGUCCCUAUCCGUCGCGGGCGCAGGAAAUUUGAGAGGAGCUGUCCUUAGUACGAGAGGACCGGGAUGGACACACCGCUGGUGUACCAGUUGUUCCGCCAGGAGCAUCGCUGGGUAGCUAUGUGUGGCAGGGAUAAACGCUGAAAGCAUCUAAGCGUGAAGCCCCCCUCAAGAUGAGAUUUCCCAUUUCUUCGGAAAGUAAGAUCCCUGAAAGAUGAUCAGGUAGAUAGGUUUGGAGUGGAAGUGUAGCGAUACAUGGAGCG
rnacentral:rRNA from 1 species